rnacentral:rRNA from 1 species
AGAGUUUGAUCCUGGCUCAGGAUGAACGCUAGCGGCAGGCCUAACACAUGCAAGUCGAGGGGCAGCGCUGGGUAGCAAUACCCUGGCGGCGACCGGCGCACGGGUGCGUAACGCGUAUGCAACCUACCUUCAACAGGGGGAUAACGGAGGGAAACCUCCACUAAUACCCCGUAUGGUAUCGGGACCGCAUGAUCCCGGUACGAAAGCUUCGGUGGUUGGAGAUGGGCAUGCGUGACAUUAGCUAGUUGGCGGGGCAACGGCCCACCAAGGCUGCGAUGUCUAGGGGAGCUGAGAGGCUAAUCCCCCACACUGGUACUGAGACACGGACCAGACUCCUACGGGAGGCAGCAGUGAGGAAUAUUGGUCAAUGGUCGGAAGACUGAACCAGCCAUGCCCGCGUGGGGGAAGGAGGCCCUAUGGGUUGUAAACCCCUUUUGCACGGGAGUAAUAAGGUUCUUGCGAGGGCCGAUGAGAGUACCGUGCGAAUAAGCAUCGGCUAACUCCGUGCCAGCCGCUGC